GAUAAUCAAAGUUUAGCCCAGAACCACAUUCAAAAAUCUUCUAAAUAAGCCUUAAAAUAUGUUCAAGCAGGCAUUUUAUCUUUGCUAUAAAAAUAGAGUGUUAACGUUUUAGCGACUGUUGGAAUGACCAGCCCUUAAGCAUAACAAGCUGUAAUAUCCAUUCCCAUUAUAGGGUAAUCCCAUUAGGCUCCUGCCCACUCUCAAGUGAAUUAUAUACACACUGUGUACACCGCCUGGACCUUCGUGUGCGAUGAGAUCCUGACAACAGAAUUCCCUAAUAAUACUGAAAUUAAAGGUUUCUGCUCCAUUUCAGGAAGCCACUCCAGCAGGGCCUCAUUCAUGUUGCCUGAAAAUGCUGACUGCUUCCUCCUGACCCUGGCAGAUUUCCAGAAAGCCUGAUCACACACAUACCCACAUACAUCUGCUUCCC